UCGAGAAUCUUCGGCAAUGGACGAAAGUCUGACCGAGCGACGCCGCGUGCGGGAUGAAGGUCUUCGGAUUGUAAACCGCUGUCAGAGGGGAUGAAGUAUACAGAAGCAAUCUUCUGUAUUUGACAGAGCCUCAGAGGAAGCACGGGCUAAGUUCGUGCCAGCAGCCGCGGUAAUACGAACUGUGCGAACGUUAUUCGGAAUCACUGGGCUUAAAGGGUGCGUAGGCGGUUUUCUAAGUCACGUGUGAAAUCUUCCGGCUCAACCGGAAAACUGCGCGUGAAACUAGUGGACUGGAGUGAGGUAGGGGUGUAUGGAACUUCCGGUGGAGCGGUGAAAUGUGUAGAGAUCGGAAGGAACGCCAGCAGCGAAAGCGGUACACUGGGCCUUUUCUGACGCUGAGGCACGAAAGCUAGGGGAGUGAACGG
rnacentral:rRNA from 1 species